AUGUGGUUCCCGGAGAAACCAGAGGUUGAGAACAGUAGGUCAUGUAGAUGCGAAUGCCCGGCGCUGAUCAGACUUCUACGUGCAUCGGAUAACAGCUGGUACAUUACAGAACACCGCGAGAGCCACAACCACUCGAUGUCGCUGACAAUGGGAGAGAAGGUGCACUGGCCGUCACACAAACAUAUCGAUGUGUACACGAAGGACUUGAUUAGGCAGCUGAGGAAAAAUAAUGUGAAUCUGGGAAAGGUCUAUAGUAUAAUUGGCAGCUUCUUUGUCUCAGUUGAGAAGGUGCCCUUCAUGAAAAGGACUCUGAGGAAUAUAUGUGGCAAAAUUAGCCGUGAGCAGGCCGAUGAUGAUGUGCGGAAGAUACUGGAAGUGUUUGCUGACAUCUGUUCGAGCGACCCUGGCUUCACGUACGUGGUGUUGGCAGACAAGUCCAGCAAGGUGAAAAAUCUGAUGUGGGCUAAUGGGAGCAGCCGAAUGCAGUAUAAGUUCUUUGGUGAUGUGGUCACAUUCGACACAACCUACAGGACAAACCUGUAUGACAUGCCAUUUGGUCUAUUCAUGGGAGUUGACAAUCACUAUCAAAGUAUAAUAUUUGGCGGGGGUAUUGAUGCGGGAUGA
rnacentral:rRNA from 1 species